UUUGGGUUUAAAAGUUUAGGACG
rnacentral:snRNA from 1 species